rnacentral:rRNA from 1 species
CUCUUCGGGGAUGAUUAAACCGGCGCACGGGCCAGUAACACGUGAGUGACCUGCCUUUUAGACUGGAACAACUUACCGAAAGGUGAGCUAAUGCCGGAUGAGUUAUAUAAGUGCAUGUUUAUAUAGGAAAAGUUGGGGAGACCUGACGCUGAAAGAUGGACUCGCGUCCCAUUAGCUAGUUGGUAGGGUAAUGGCCUACCAAGGCGACGAUGGGUAGCCGGCCUGAGAGGGUGGCCGGCCACACUGGGACUGAGACACGGCCCAGACUCCUACGGGAGGCAGCAGUGGGGAAUUUUGCGCAAUGCUCGUAAGAGUGACGCAGCGACGCCGCGUGAAUGACGAAGGCCUUCGGGUCGUAAAGUUCUUUCGACAGGGAAGAAAAUGCCUAUGAGUAACUGUGUAUGUAUUGACGGUACCUGUAUAAGCAGCCCCGGCUAACUCCGUGCCAGCAGCCGCGGUAAUACGGAGGGGGCGAGCGUUGUUCGGAGUGACUGGGCGUAAAGAGCACGUAGGCGGUGUUGUAAGUCAUUAGUCAAAGACUAGAGCUCAACUUUAGUAAGGCUAGUGAUACUAUAAUACU